UUCAUGAUAACAAAGUGGCUAACAGGUUAGUCAAAUUUACUUCCUACUCUAUUCUAUCUUCCUUUGCUCAAUUACCAUGGACUGAUUUUACCUCUAUACUACGCCGUCACACAACAAUCUUUGAUCCAACUACUAGAAUAACCUGCCGGAAUAACAACCUAGAUUUACCCAUAUCUACUAUUGUCCAUUUUAACAGACUCCACAUUAGUCAUUCGCUUCUUCCUGAUCUGGUCUACAAACUUAGCUUAAAUGGACUCUCCCCUCUGCACACUACACUCAACUGAAAGUGUCUGCGACCUCUUUCAUCUAUUCUUUGACUGUUUCUCAUUAUACUCAAAGUGUUUAAUUUUGCUCAGUUUCUUGAAUUUCAUAACAACUUCUUUAUACUCAACUUUAAAUCCCAAUUGAUCAUAAUUAUGGUAAUUAAUUCAGUAUUGGAAGCUGGUUUUGUGAUGAAAUAUUUGUGUUUAUUUUUUCUUUAGCUUAAUUUUGUUUUUCUAAAUAAGUGUCGAGAUGCUAGUCAUUGACUAGAAGCUAACUAACAGAAUAUCUAUUUACCCCUAAAACCAUUAGUAUUAUGGAUACUGUAUAUCAGGUGGGCCACGUAUUUUUUUUUAAAUCUCGGUGGCCAUAUACAGUAAUAUGUCCUCAGAGAAUUUUCUAGGUGUCAGACCUCAGCCAACCGAAUUCUGACUAUUAAAUUAAUACUUAAUAAUCAGGCUUAACAACCAAUUCUCUAUGAAAUAGACAUGUAAUCUAAUUUGUUUUAUCGCAUUGGAUAUAAAUAAGGUGACUAAACUCUUUGAUAGAGAUGUUCAAUAGAUACUCUUAAUUGAUCAAAACAGAAAAAAUACACAUUAUGCCUAAAAUGUGUUAGUGGGCCAUGCAUAAAGGCAAGGUGGGCCGCACGUCACUCACGGGUUGAAAACUCCUGCAGCUGUAUAUCAUAAGAUUCAAGUUAUUUUAAACAAUUCUUGAAGAGGUCAUCUUAUAAGAAAAAAAAAUGUAGGUGUCGCGAUUCAUAAAAGGCUGAAAACCAUUACAAAUUUUAAAAAUUGCGUUAAAAAUAUGUACCAAACAGAAUAAUGGUGUUUACAACUCUAGAAAUUGG